rnacentral:rRNA from 1 species
GCAAGGAAUAGUAGGCAAUGGGCGCAAGCCUGACCUCGCGACGCCGCGUGAGGGAUGAAGGCCUUCGGGUUGUAAACCUCUUUUUUCAGGGAUGAAUAAUGACAGUACCUGGAGAAUAAGUCACGGCUAACUACGUGCCAGCAGCCGCGGUAAAACGUAGGUGGCAAACGUUAUCCGGAUUUACUGGGCGUAAAGAGUGCGUAGGUGGUUAUUUAAGUCAGAUGUAAAAUCUCCUGGCUCAACUGGGAGGGACCAUCUGAUACUGGAUAGCUGGAGUACAGCAGAGGAAAGUGGAAUUCCCGGUGUAGUGGUGGAAUGCGUAGAUAUCGGGAGGAACACCAGUGGCGAAAGCGGCUUUCUGGGCUGUUACUGACACUGUUGCACAAAAGCGUGGGGAGCAAACAGGAUUAGAAACCCCAGUAGUCC